GACGAACGCUGGCGGCGUGCCUAAUACAUGCAAGUAGAACGCUGAAGGAGGAGCUUGCUUCUCUGGAUGAGUUGCGAACGGGUGAGUAACGCGUAGGUAACCUGCCUGGUAGCGGGGGAUAACUAUUGGAAACGAUAGCUAAUACCGCAUAACAGUAGAUAUCGCAUGAUAUCUACUUGAAAGGUGCAAUUGCAUCACUACCAGAUGGACCUGCGUUGUAUUAGCUAGUUGGUGAGGUAACGGCUCACCAAGGCGACGAUACAUAGCCGACCUGAGAGGGUGAUCGGCCACACUGGGACUGAGACACGGCCCAGACUCCUACGGGAGGCAGCAGUAGGGAAUCUUCGGCAAUGGACGGAAGUCUGACCGAGCAACGCCGCGGGAGGGAAGAAGGGUUUCGGAUCGUGAAGCUCGGUUGUAAGAGAAGAACGAGGGUGAGAGUGGAAAGUUCACACUGUGACGGUAGCUGACCAGAAAGGGACGGCUAACUACGUG
rnacentral:rRNA from 1 species